rnacentral:rRNA from 1 species
UACGAGGGGGGCGAGCGUUGUUCGGAAUUAUUGGGCGUAAAGGGUGCGUAGGCGGUUUUGUAAGUCUUAUGUGAAAUCUAUGGGCUCAACUCAUAGACUGCAUGAGAAACUGCAGGGCUUGAGUGUGGGAGAGGUGAGUGGAAUUUCCGGUGUAGCGGUGAAAUGCGUAGAUAUCGGAAGGAACACCUGUGGCGAAAGCGGCUCACUGGACCACAACUGACGCUGAUGCACGAAAGCUAGGGGAGCAAACAGG